GACGAACGCUGGCGGCGUGCUUAACACAUGCAAGUCGUACGGUAAGGCCCUUUCGGGGGUACACGAGUGGCGAACGGGUGAGUAACACGUGAGUAACCUGCCCACAACUUUGGGAUAACGCUAGGAAACUGGUGCUAAUACUGGAUAUGUGCUCCUGCUGCAUGGUGGGGGUUGGAAAGCUCCGGCGGUUGUGGAUGGACUCGCGGCCUAUCAGCUUGUUGGUGGGGUAGUGGCCUACCAAGGCGGCGACGGGUAGCCGGCCUGAGAGGGUGACCGGCCACACUGGGACUGAGAUACGGCCCAGACUCCUACGGGAGGCAGCAGUGGGGAAUCUUGCACAAUGGGCGCAAGCCUGAUGCAGCAACGCCGCGGGCGGGAUGACGGCCUUCGGGUUGUAAACCGCUUUCAGCAGGGACGAAGCUUUUUGUGACGGUACCUGCAGAAGAAGCACCGGCUAACUACGUG
rnacentral:rRNA from 1 species